ensembl:ncRNA lncRNA:CR44924 long non-coding RNA:CR44924
UUAGACGGAAAAUAUGAAAUUAAAAAAGUUGCCUGGGUGUUUAUCUCAAACCCUGAGACUUUAAAUUCAAACCCUGUAGACAUUUUGGAGUACUUAAGUUUUUAACACAAAGAAUUAAAACUUUAUCUUAUUCAACUAGUUCAAAAAGGACUUGCAUAUUUAUUGAACUUUUACGAUUUCGUAGAUUUUCGCAUUAUUUGCUUAGCUCAUUUCCAUAAAAUGCCGACUAGCUGUCUGACCUCCACAUGUCAACACAACUCAUUAAGUUGCAAUCAGUGUUGCACCCUUCGGUUUGUCCGACUUCCGGAUAUUAACUGUGAACUAAUGACUUGCAAAUUUUAUGCAAAUUGGGUGUCAAAUGAUGGCGUCGAAGGGGGACGAACCGAGAAUGUCGUGUUAUAUGACAAUUUAAUCGCUCACUCCUUCCGGAAACUUUGGACAUGUACCACUCCCAAGAUUAUGGUAAGAAAGUAUUUUAAGGAAUAUGGGAAAGUUGUUAAACCUAAGUACUAUUUAAGAUCGAGGAAGCCUAAGCAAAUACCGCUGUCCCAGUUUUGAUUAAUAUUUGUUUGGACAGUCAAGAGGAAGAAUUGCUCACCCAGGGGAAAACCCACCCCGAUCCCAUUAUUCUGGCUUUGCCAAUUUUUCGCAAAGGAAAAUUAAAGGAAAAUAAGCAUCAGGCAGGAGGAGAGAAAAAGGCUAAGGGAAUAGGUAGAAUCGCAGGAUUGCAGUCCAGCCAGGCAUGAAGACACUUUUGCCACAGCUUAGCUCGAUCGGGCAGGGUCAGGGUCCAUUAGGUUAAAUGAUAUUGAUGAUGAUCGCAGAACCGAUGCGUCGAUCAGCUGGCGCUAUUUCCUAUUUGGCAUCCGGGGGGUUGGUUUGCCCAAGAUGUGCGGAUCUGCUUUCUUAUUGCCCCCGGCCUGGGAAAUUUCUCACAUUUUCACACAAAAACUAUUGAGCUGUCUGCGCUGGCCGUGGUCCAAGUUGUGAUAAUAAAGCAAUUAAUAGGAUUAUAUAUGCAAGGAUCUAUUGGCGGAUCUGUUGACAGUUGGGUGGCUAGGGGUCAAGUUGCGCUGGUCAUUUGGCUCAGGAUAAGGAAGGGAUGGGGCUAGUCACAUUGUGAGCCAUUCUAGGCAACAUUUCAUCGAAAAUGACCCUGCAAUGCGAUCCUUUAAUUCGCCGCGCUUUUCGAUGGAUUUUCUCCUUAAUCUGAAUCGAUCGAUCGUCGGGGGGAAAAGGGUUGCCCGGCAACAAAGACGAAAGUUUCGAAUUUCC